rnacentral:rRNA from 1 species
UACGGGGGGGGCAAGCGUUGUUCGGAAUUACUGGGCGUAAAGGGCUCGUAGGUGGCCAACUAAGUCAUACGUGAAAUCCCUCGGCUUAACCGGGGAACUGCGUCUGAUACUGGAUGGCUUGAGGUUGGGAGAGGGAUGCGGAAUUCCAGGUGUAGCGGUGAAAUGCGUAGAUAUCGGGAGGAACACCUGUGGCGAAAGCGGCGCACUGGACCACAACUGACGCUGAGGCGCGAAAGCUAGGGGAGCAAACAGG